rnacentral:rRNA from 1 species
CCUACGGGAGGCAGCAGUGGGGAAUAUUGCACAAUGGGGGAAACCCUGAUGCAGCGACGCCGCGUGAGUGAAGAAGUAAUUCGUUAUGUACAGCUCUAUCAGCAGGGAAGAAAAUGACGGUACCUGAGUAAGAAGCCCCGGCUAACUACGUGCCAGCAGCCGCGGUACUACGUAGGGGGCAAGCGUUAUCCGGAUUUACUGGGUGUAAAGGGAGCGUAGAUGGCAGUGCAAGUCUGGAGUGAAAGGCGGGGGCUCAACCCCCGGACUGCUCUGGAAACUGUACGGCUGGAGUGCAGGAGAGGUAAGUGGAAUUCCUAGGGUAGCGGUGAAAUGCGUAGAUAUUAGGAGGAACACCAGUGGCGAAGGCGGCUUACUGGACUGUAACUGACGUUGAGGCUCGAAAGCGUGGGGAGCAAACAGGAUUAGAUACCCGGGUAGUC